ACUUAAUUAGUUUAAUAAAAACGUCAAUUUGUGGGAUUGAAAAUGUAAAUAAUUUACUUUAGGUU
rnacentral:tRNA from 1 species